UGGUACACAGAAAGAAAGGUAAUACUUCCACUCCUCCCUGUUCAGAAUGCAUCUGGAGAAUAGUAUUCACCUUGAACGCUGCAGGUAUUAAUGAUGACACCGACAAACUGGAGAGCAAAGCAGAGAACAGAAACCAGGAUAGGGAGACCCUACCAAUCUGUGGCAUGAUGACUGCUGAAAGAGCUGGAAACAGGUUGCCUAGAAAGAGAGUACAGUGUGAACACCCACCUCAAAUAUUUGUUCAGCUGAUAUGAGAACCUUGGAAGCUGAAGAUGGCUGCACAUGGUUGGCUCACCCCUGUAAUCCUGGUACUUUGGCAGGCCAGUGCUGGAGUAUCACUUGAGGCUAGGAGUCCAAGACCAGCCUAGAUGACACAGCAAGACCCUGUCUCUACAAAAAAUUUUAAAAAUUAGUUGGGUGCAGUGGC
rnacentral:lncRNA from 1 species